UACGUAGGGUGCGAGCGUUGUCCGGAAUUAUUGGGCGUUAAAGAGCUCGUAGGCGGUGUGUCGCGUCGGCCGUGAAAACCUGCAGCUUAACUGUGGGCGUGCGGUCGAUACGGGCAUCACUGGAGUUCGGCAGGGGAGACUGGAAUUCCUGGUGUAGCGGUGAAAUGCGCAGAUAUCAGGAGGAACACCGGUGGCGAAGGCGGGUCUCUGGGCCGAUACUGACGCUGAGGAGCGAAAGCGUGGGGAGCGAACAGG
rnacentral:rRNA from 1 species